rnacentral:misc_RNA from 1 species
UACGUAGGGUGCGAGCGUUGUCCGGAAUUAUUGGGCGUAAAGAGCUUGUAGGCGGUUUGUCACGUCUGCUGUGAAAGCCCGGGGCUUAACCCCGGGUCUGCAGUGGGUACGGGCAGGCUAGAGUAUGGUUGGGGAGACUGGAAUUCCUGGUGUAGCGGUGGAAUGCGCAGAUAUCAGGAGGAACACCGAUGGCGAAGGCAGGUCUCUGGGCCAUUACUGACGCUGAGAAGCGAAAGCAUGGGGAGCGAACAGG